rnacentral:rRNA from 1 species
CGGGGGGCGUGCUAAUACAUGCAGUCGAACGCUUCUUUUUCCACCGGAGCUUGCUCCACCGGAAAAAGAGGAGUGGCGAACGGGUGAGUAACACGCGGGUAACCUGCCCAUCAGAAGGGGAUAACACUUGGAAACAGGUGCUAAUACCGUAUAACAAUCAAAACCGCAUGGUUUUGAUUUGAAAGGCGCUUUCGGGUGUCGCUGAUGGAUGGACCCGCGGUGCAUUAACUAGUUGGUGAGGUAACGGCUCACCAAGGCCACGAUGCAUAGCCGACCUGAGAGGGUGAUCGGCCACAUUGGGACUGAGACACGGCCCAAACUCCUACGGGAGGCAGCAGUAGGGAAUCUUCGGCAAUGGACGAAAGUCUGACCGAGCAACGCCGCGUGAGUGAAGAAGGUUUUCGGAUCGUAAAACUCUGUUGUUAGAGAAGAACAAGGAUGAGAGUAACUGUUCAUCCCUUGACGGUAUCUAACCAGAAAGCCACGGCUAACUACGUGCCAGCAGCCGCGGUAAUACGUAGGUGGCAAGCGUUGUCCGGAUUUAUUGGGCGUAAAGCGAGCGCAGGCGGUUUCUUAAGUCUGAUGUGAAAGCCCCCGGCUCAACCGGGGAGGGUCAUUGGAAACUGGGAGACUUGAGUGCAGAAGAGGAGAGUGGAAUUCCAUGUGUAGCGGUGAAAUGCGUAGAUAUAUGGAGGAACACCAGUGGCGAAGGCGGCUCUCUGGUCUGUAACUGACGCUGAGGCUCGAAAGCGUGGGGAGCAAACAGGAUUAGAUACCCUGGUAGUCCACGCCGUAAACGAUGAGUGCUAAGUGUUGGAGGGUUUCCGCCCUUCAGUGCUGCAGCUAACGCAUUAAGCACUCCGCCUGGGGAGUACGACCGCAAGGUUGAAACUCAAAGGAAUUGACGGGGGCCCGCACAAGCGGUGGAGCAUGUGGUUUAAUUCGAAGCACGCGAAGAUCUUACCAGGUCUUGACAUCGUUUGACCACUCUAGAGAUAGAGCUUCCCCUUCGGGGGCAAAGUGACAGGUGUUGCAUGGUUGUCGUCAGCUCGUGUCGUGAGAUGCUGGGUUAA